GCCGAAGUGGUGGAAUUGGUAGACACGCCGGUCUCAAAAACCGGUGCCUUCGGGCGUGACGGUUCGACUCCGUCCUUCGGCACCA
rnacentral:tRNA from 1 species